UCGAAAACAUUCAACAAUGGCUUCAAUAGCUCUUUUCUUCCUACACCUUCUCUUUCUAUUGUCUAUUUUCCAACCCUCAUUUGCAACUAGACGACUCACUGAGUUAGUCCAGAACUCGUCUCCCCUUUUGCAAUACCACAACGGAGCCCUCCUCACCGGCGACAUCUCCGUCAACCUCAUUUGGUACGGCAACUUCAAGCCCUCCCAGAAAGCCAUCAUCACCGAUUUCAUCACCUCCCUCUCCUCCGCCUCACUCAAAUCCCAGAUCCAACCUUCCGUCGCCACAUGGUGGAAGAUUACAGACAAAUACUUCUCAAAAACAAAAAAACCUUCCCUCCGACUCGGUAAACAAGUAUCCGACCCGGAUUACUCACUCGGGAAAUCAUUAUCAGACAAACACCUCCUCCAGUUAGCUGCAAAGGGUGAACCGACGAACGCCGUGAACAUCGUGUUAACGGCAAAGGACGUGGCAGUGUCUCGUUUUUGCUCCGGUAGAUGUGGAACCCAUGGCCAUGGAUCAUCCUCCAAAGCUUCUCAUGUUAAAGGUAAAAGCAACAAGUUUGCAUACAUCUGGGUCGGCAACUCGGAGACUCAGUGUCCUGGUCAAUGCGCGUGGCCAUUCC
rnacentral:lncRNA from 1 species